GGAGAGGUGUCCGAGCUGGCUUAAGGAGCACGCUUGGAAAGCGUGUGUACGGGGAACCGUACCGAGGGUUCGAAUCCCUCCCUCUCCGCCA
rnacentral:tRNA from 1 species